CCUACGGGAGGCAGCAGUGGGGAAUAUUGGGCAAUGGACGCAAGUCUGACCCAGCAACGCCGCGUGAAGGAAGAAGGCUUUCGGGUUGUAAACUUCUUUUAAGGGGGAAGAGCAGAAGACGGUACCCCUUGAAUAAGCCACGGCUAACUACGUGCCAGCAGCCGCGGUAAUACGUAGGUGGCAAGCGUUGUCCGGAAUUACUGGGUGUAAAGGGAGCGUAGGCGGGAUGGCAAGUUGGGUGUUAAAUCUACCGGCUCAACUGGUAGUCGCACUCAAAACUGCUAUUCUUGAGUGAAGUAGAGGCAGGCGGAAUUCCUAGUGUAGCGGUGAAAUGCGUAGAUAUUAGGAGGAACACCAGUGGCGAAGGCGGCCUGCUGGGCUUUUACUGACGCUGAGGCUCGAAAGUGUGGGGAGCAAACAGGAUUAGAUACCCUUGUAGUC
rnacentral:rRNA from 1 species